GUCCCCUCCAGGGACAUUGCUUGGACUUCCCUGCUGAGCCACACACCUCUGCUCUGCCAUCAUGGACUCUAGUCCUCCGAAGCCCUUUGGCUUUUCCAUUGAGAGGAAAACCAUCUCUGAGGGAAGGAUGUACAGAAGUGUUGGCAGCAGCAAUUUCUGCAAGAACCCCGCAUCCAUCUGCAGCAGACUGUGGUGGGUAUGUGGAUAUGUGAUGGAUAGCAGGAUAGUGGUGGUUAUGAAUCCAACAGUGGAAUGUUACACAGCACUGGAAAUGGAGGACCACAGCAAACCUCAACAGACCACUGCUGAUGAUAUCCAGGAAUCAGACUCUGGGUCAGAAACAAACAAACAAACAAAAAGCAGGUCACAUCCACAUAGGUUUGAGGUGAUUCUCGAAUAUCGUACACAGAUGUGCAAAUCGAAAUGGCCUUUUAAAGGGAUAGAAACAUGAAAUAAUUUUUUUUUUUUGAGACAAGGUCUCUCUACAUAUGUCUGGAUGGGCUGAAACUCACUAUGUAGACCAGGCUUGUUUCAAACUCACAGAAAUCAGAACAUCUCUGCCUCCCAAGUGCAGGGAUUAAAAGAGUGCAUCACCAUGCCUGGAGGAAAUAAUUUUUAAAAUCAGAGAAGCUAAGGGUGAUGGCUCAUACCUAUAAUCCCAAAUGACUCUAGCAGGCAGCUCAGUACCCCUUUCUGAUCUUGAGCGACAAGGUUUCAGCCUAAUAGAUGUGUAGAAUGUUGUAUGGAGCCUACAGCACACCCCAGACAGCAGGAUUAUAUGGAAGCCCCUGGGCUGGCUUGUUAAAAAAACAACUUGAUAGAUAUGUAAACUAAUAAAAGAGUAAUACGUAGGAGUAUAGUAUAGAGGUUCUUCAAGACACUAAAAA
rnacentral:lncRNA from 1 species